UAGCAUGUCCCCAAGAUCUGUGGCCAGUAGUGGCCAUGGGAUCUCCAACUGCAUUCAAGAGCAAACUGGAGAGUCUUUGACAACUCAGGUCACCAGUACUUGUACCUGCCACAGACCUUUUCUAUAAAA